rnacentral:rRNA from 1 species
UACAGAGGUCUCAAGCGUUGUUCGGAUUCAUUGGGCGUAAAGCGCGCGCAGGUGGUUUCUUAAGUCUGAUGUGAAAGCCCACGGCUCAACCGUGGAGGGUCAUUGGAAACUGGGGAACUUGAGUGCAGGAGAGAAGAGUGGAAUUCCACGUGUAGCGGUGAAAUGCGUAGAGAUGUGGAGGAACACCAGUGGCGAAGGCGACUCUUUGGCCUGUAACUGACACUGAGGCGCGAAAGCGUGGGGAGCAAACAGG